GGUCCUAGAGGAGAGGAAUGAAAUACAGAUUGUGAGGGGACCCAUGUGAUGGGACAAUCCUGUCGGGCACCUGUGACUGGGAGAAUGGGGGAGGCUGGGGAAUGAAUGGGGAUGGCACUGGGGACCCUGCCUUGCAGGAAAGACAGUGAGCUCACCUCUUGGUGCCUUGUGUUGGGGGCGCUGUUGGCACAUCCUAGAGAACAUGCCCAGCAGACAGAGGAGCGGCUGUGGGAUGAGAAGUUCAACUCAGAGAGGCAGAGUGACGCCUCCGGGUCCAGACAGCUCUGGAUCACAAAGUGAAGACACAAAAGAUGCAUUGAUGUUAUUUAAAAGGAGCUAAUAAAUAUCUAAAGCAGUCAUUCAAAUGUGUUCUAAUAUGAAUCCUGUGUUCCUGACAUUGUAGGGAUUGAGACAGAAAGUGAUGUCACUGCGGGAACUGUUCUGUGUUGGGACAAGGACCGAGGACGUCCCUCCUCCUCUGCUUCUGCUUGUGACCCUGAUCGGGUAACGUUCCCACCCUGCUCUGACCCUCUGACUCUGCCAUGGGCACCAGGCUCCUCUGCUGGGCAGCCCUGUGUCUCCUGCAGACAGAUCACACAGGUGCUGGAGUCUCCCAGUCCCCCAGUAACAAGGUCACAGAGAAGGGAAAGGAUGUAGCUCUCAGGUGUGAUCCAAUUUCAGGUCAUACGGUCCUUUAUUGGUACCGACAGAGCCCCGGGCAGGGCCCAGAGUUUCUAAUUUACUUCCAAGGCAAGGAUAUAGCAGACGAUUCGGGGCUGCCCAGUGAUCGGUUCUCUGCAGAGAGGUCUAGGGGAUCCGUCUCCACUCUGCAGAUCCAGCGCACAGAGCAGGCAGACUCAGCGGUGUAUCUCUGUGCCAGCAGCUUAGCCACAGCGUGA